GAGUUUGAUCGUGGCUCAGAUUGAACGCUGGCGGCAGGCCUAACACAUGCAAGUCGAGCGGAUGACGGGAGCUUGCUCCUUGAUUCAGCGGCGGACGGGUGAGUAAUGCCUAGGAAUCUGCCUGGUAGUGGGGGACAACGUUUCGAAAGGAACGCUAAUACCGCAUACGUCCUACGGGAGAAAGCAGGGGACCUUCGGGCCUUGCGCUAUCAGAUGAGCCUAGGUCGGAUUAGCUAGUUGGUGGGGUAAUGGCUCACCAAGGCGACGAUCCGUAACUGGUCUGCGAGGAUGAUCAGUCACACUGGAACUGAGACACGGUCCAGACUCCUACGGGAGGCAGCAGUGGGGAAUAUUGGACAAUGGGGGCAACCCCUGAUCCAGCCAUGCCGCGUGAGUGAAGAAGGCCU
rnacentral:rRNA from 1 species